rnacentral:rRNA from 1 species
AUACGGAAGGUCCGGGCGUUAUCCGGAUUUAUUGGGUUUAAAGGGAGCGCAGGCGGAGAUGCAAGCGUGACGUCAAAUUUCGGGGCUCAACCCCGUCUCGCGUCGCGAACUGCGUCCCUUGGUUGCGGGAAGGGGAGGCGAAACUCGUGGUGUAGCGGUGAAAUGCAUAGAUAUCACGAAGAACUCCGAUCGCGAAGGCAGCCUUCCGGCCCGUCAACGACGCUCAUGCUCGAAGGUGCGGGUAUCAAACAGGAUUAGAUACCCUGGUAGUCCGCACAGUAAACGAUGGACACCCGCGGUUUGGCCUGUAUGGCUGAGCCGCCAAGCGAAAGCGUUAAGUGUCCCACCUGGGGAGUACGCCGGCAACGGUGAAACUCAAAGGAAUUGACGGGG